rnacentral:lncRNA from 1 species
UGGAAGUUGAUUAUGCCACCACAGUUGAACAUUGAGAUGAGUGCAGCCUCAGGCAAUGGACGUGACUGCAACCUUGGGACAGACCUUGAACCAAACCACCCAGAUACUAUGUUUAUUCGGAAUUGGUGGUUUCUGACAACCCUACAUGAGGAAUUCUGUUGACACCAUGUUUCCAACAGGAUGUGAUCACUUUGUAUCUUUGUCACAUUUUGAGACAGUGUUUUGUCAUAUUUUCCAGACUGGUCUUGGACCCCUGAGCUCAAGCCAUCUGCCCACCUUGGCUCCCCAAAAUACUGGUAUUCCAGGUGUGAGCCACUGGCCCAGCCCAGGUUUGUUAUGUGUUGCUUGCUUAAAUUAGAAGUUUCCAAAAACCUAUAAUGUUUAGUAAGAACUUAUUGUGCCUUAAA